UUUUCCGCAAUGGGCGAAAGCCUGACGGAGCGACGCCGCGUGGAGGAAGACCCCCUUCGGGGCGUAAACUCCUUUUGUGGGGGACGAAGCACGUGACGGUACCCCACGAAGAAGCACCGGCUAACUACGUGCCAGCAGCCGCGGUAAGACGUAGGGUGCAAGCGUUGUCCGGAGUUACUGGGCGUAAAGGGCGCGUAGGCGGUUAUCCGCGUCGCACGUGAAAGCCCCCGGCUCAACCGGGGAGGGUCGUGCGAGACGGGGUAACUGGAGGCAGGGAGAGGCUGGUGGAAUUCCCGGUGUAGUGGUGAAAUGCGUAGAGAUCGGGAGGAACACCUGAGGCGAAGGCGGCCAGCUGGUCCUGUCCUGACGCUGAGGCGCGAAGGCUCGGGGAGCGAACGGG
rnacentral:rRNA from 1 species